rnacentral:lncRNA from 1 species
GGGAGGUCAUUGCUGAGCUUGACAGCAGCAGUUGUGUGGAGUAGUGGGGACCAAACAUUUUUGGGUGGGGAUUCAAGAGAGAAUAGGACUAGGAAAUGGAAACAUCAAAUGUGGGCAAAUAUUUCAGGGAUUCUUGUUGUAGAGGGAAGGUGAUAAAUAUAGCUGAAGGGAAAAGUUAGAUCAAGAGAGGUUUUAAAAUGGGAAAGAUAAAAGCGUAUUUGCUGAUGGUAAAGACAGUAAAGAGGAAAAAAGGAAUAAUCCUUCAUGUGGUAGCACAAUUCCCAUUCAGAAGAACUUUAGUUUAAAAGAGCUAAAAUCGGGAUUUCCCUUGUGGCGCAGUGGGUUAAGGAACCUGUGUUGUCAUGGCAUGGGUUUGAUCCCUGGCCCAGGAACUUCUGCAUGCCACAGGUGCAGCCAAAAAACCCACUAAAAAAACCCAAAAACAAAAAAGCUAAAAUCAUUUAGCUUACUAUUAUAAACACCAGUUUUUGUUAAUGAGGUCUAUAUUUUCACACAAAGUUUUUCCCAUCUUCAUAAAAAAAUCAAAGCUUUUUGUCUGAGGCUUUAAAUCAAUUAUUUUUAGCUACGGAUAGUUUCUGUUCAUCUUACUCAACCUAAGGGAGUCUCUGGUUCUGCACCAGUGUGGAUGGCCCUGAGGUAUCCUCUCUACAUACCCUUCAGUAACUGCUGACUUCUUUCUUAGAUUUCAUUUUUUAGGAGCAGUUUUGGGUUCAUAGCAAAACUGAGAGGAAGGUAUAGAGGUUUCCCGUAUGGUCUCUGCCCACUGGCCCCACCCUGCACAUCGCUUCCCCCAUUACUGACAUCCCCAUCACAUGGUACACUUGGUAGAACUGAUGAAUCCCCAGUGACACAUCAUGAUCACCCAAAGCCCACAGUUUACAUUAGCACUCACUCUUGGUGUUGUACAUUCUUGGGUUUGGAAAAUAUAUAAUGACAUGUAUCCUUCACAAAAGUAGACUAUUUUUCACUGCUCUAAAAAGCCCUCUGCUCUCUUCAUUCCUUCCCUCUACCCCAGCUUCUGGCAAUGACUGACCUUUUUACCAUCUCAGUGGUUUUGCCUUUUUCAGAAUGUCAUAUAGUUGGAAUAAUGCAGUGUGUAGCCUUUUUCAGAUUGGUUUCUUUCACUUAGUAAUAUGCACUUAAGUUUCCUCCAUGUCUUUUCAGGGUUGGAUAGAUAGCCCUUUGUUUUUAGUGCUGAGUAAUAUGCCAUUGUCUGAUGAACCAAAAUUUAUUGAUUCACCUAGGACAAAAUGGUGGCUUCCAGGUUUUGGCAUUUAUGAGCAAAGCUGCAGUAAACAUCCUUGUAUAGGUUUUUGUAUGGACACAAUUGCUUGGGUAAAUACCAAGGAGCAUGAUUGCCGGAUUGUAUGAUAAGAGCAUGUUUAGAUUUGUAAGAAACUGCCAAACUGUUUCCAAGGUGGCUGUACCAUUUUGCAUUCGCAUCAGCAAUGAAUGAGAGUUCCUAUUGCUCCGUAUCCUCACCUGUAUUUGGUGGGGUAAGUGUUCUGUAUUUUGGCCGUCCAGAUAGGUGAGUAGUGGCAUCUCCCAUUCUAGUGAUCUUAUCUCACACACAGAUUCCCCACCCUUCCUUAAGCAGCUAUGGGAUCCUCUGAGUUUUCUAAGAAUAUGUUUAGUCAACAAAACAGUCCUUGCUUGCAUGACUGUGUUUAUAGACAACAAGCACAGGGCAACAGAUGAGUGAUAAGAAACAGGAAGAGUUUAAAGAUCCAAAUGUAUCUGGCUCCUGUGUGGAUUAGUAGUGGCUUCUGUGAUGCCAUUGCACCCCUUUGAAAGAUAUCAGAGGUUACUACUUCUGAGCUUGCUUUUUGCCUCAGAUUUGGCUUUUUUUUUGUUCUCUUCCUACUUUCUCUUAUUUCCAGACUAGGUCCUCUUUAACAGGAACUGAUUCUCAGGACAUAGAGCAUUUCAGUAUUCUGCUACCUUGUAACUUUGCAUUUUAUUCAUCUCUGCAAAAAGGCUACUGGCUUUGGGGUAUUGUUUAGUAAUUAGGUAGCUGAAGAGACUUGAGGCAAUGUCAUUUGUGUUACCUGUGGAAGGCCAGACUGCUGGGUCUCAUUUGAAUCCUGAGGCUAUUUUUCUUCUGGGUGUCUGGACAAUUGCUUUUGUGCUUUAAAGAUCCAGAAACAGAGUCCAGUGCUGGGGCCAAUUUGCCAUUUUGAGCGGGGUUAGCUGUGUAACGCUCUGGACACUUCCAUGCUAAGUCUAGCUCUCCUGCUGGAGGUUAGUUGCUAAGCUGUGUUGUGUUACAGAAGUAAAUUUGGUCAGCUUGUGGAAAAUAGAGGAAAUCUUUUAAAUUCACCAUGCGCUAAAAGCUUCUCAGAUGGUUCUGGAAUUGAAGAGUCACUUGUCAAAGGUAAUUUUUGGGGGGAGUUGGGGAGCUUGAAAUUAAUUAUAUAUAAACUGAAAAUUUAUUUAAAUUCUACAUUUAGUUUCUGCUAUAAUUUAGAUCAUAUAUUUUAUCCUGACUUGAAUUUUCAUGAGGCAUAUUCUUUAGGAUUAUCUACAUCAGUGCUGUCCAGUAGAAUUGUGAUAUGCGUUUUUAUAGAUAUAAUUUAAAAUUUUCUAGUAGCCAGCUUAAAAAGUAAAACAGGUGAAAUUCAUUUAAAUAAUAUAUUUUAUUUAACCCAUUAUAUCCAAAAUAUUGUCAUUUCAGUAUAUAAUAGGAAGAAAAAUUAUGAAUGAGAUAAUUUGUAUUCUUUUUAUCUUAGUCUUAGAAAUCUGGCAUGUAUUUUAUAUUCCCAGCACAUCUGCCACAUUUCAGGUGCCAAAUGGCUCCAUGUGGUGCCGUAUUGGACAGUGUUGAUCUAUAUGCAGAGUAGUUGCAGGUGUAAUAAGUCCAGUUUUGUUUCUGCCUUUAUUUCAUCAUUCUCUGUGAAUAUCAACAUACUCUUUACUAUAGUGAUAGCAUUUAUGAUGAACAAAAUACUAAAAAUAGGGUGGAGUUUUUAAAUAUUAAAAAAAUCUACUCUAAAAAACAAAUAGAUGAAUAUAUGGAAAAGAGAUAACUAUAAAUAUGCAAAAAAUGCUGAGCUGCCAGUUGACUUCAGCAGUGACUAACAGAAGUGAGGGUCUACAUACAUGAAAAAUGGCUGAGAUUCUCAGUAAGUUUUAACAAAGUUAUUUAGGCGUGGUUUGCUUCUUCAAAUCACUUCUAAGUGGUAGUUGUAACAGUAACAUCAGUGAGAGUUUUCAAAGGUGAGAAGCACCAUUCCAGACACACUUGAUUCUCAUGAAUCCUCAUAAGGUAGGUACUGACAUGAUGCACAGUUGCAGAUGGGGAGCCCGAGACCAGAGAGGUGUCGUAAUGUGCUCCAGGUCACCCAGUGGGGAAACUAUGCGUCUAGGAUUUGAACUCUUUUUUUUUUUUGGCUGUAUCCACAGCACAUGGAAGUUUGGUUUCAUCGGAGCUGCAGCUGCUGGCCUAUGCCACAGCAACACCAGAUCCAAGCUGUGUCUGCAACCUAUACCACAGCUUAUGGCAACACCGGAUCCUUACCCAAACCCACGUCCUCAUGGGUACUAGUUUGUUAACGCUGAGCCACAAGGGGAACUCCUAGGAUUUGAACUCUUGACAAUCUAUUUCCAGAGCUUACCUUUGUCGAGUCUGUGCCAGACAGCUUCCUCAGCAUGUGUCAGUGAUGCUUGUGUGAUUCAGGGGUAGAGAGUGAAGAUUGCUUGAUUUAUGAAAUCGUUGUGUUCUGGAAACUUGAGUAUAAAUUAACUCUUCAGGUAAAUCCUUUGCCAUUGUUUGUCUUAGUUUCAGAAUUGCUUUAUCUUAACCUCUGACUAAUCUUCAAUUUAAGUUGAGCCUCAGCACUUAUCUGCCCACCCUGACUUGGAAGAAACUUUUCAUGUAGUAGAGGAUUAGCGCUUACAGCUUGAUUGGAGAAAUAAGGCCCUGAUGCUCAUGAAAUAUUAUUGUAACUUAUUAACAGCAAUCACAGCAGCAGUCAUUUAUUGAGUGAUUACUGUAUGCCAAGCAUUGUGCCAUGACUUUACACUCAUUAUCUUUUUAAUCAUUAAAACGAUGCUGUAAGAUUGGUUUUAUCUUCCUCAGUAAAUAAGUGCCAGUCGCAGUGCCAUUGUAUCUGAAACAGUGAGACUGGGUGACAGUUCUACGUGUCACCUUUUAAGAGAGAUAUUAGCAGUGAAAGAGCAGUGAGUUAUCCAAGUGGUGGGUGUGUGGUCAGAAAAUCAUGUGGUAUCAGGAGAGGUUAUAGAAGCUGUAAUCUGUAGCCUAAGGAAAGAAGACAGAGGGUGGAAUAGUUGUCUUUAAGUAUUUGGCAUAAGGAUUGUGGUCUGAAGAGAAGCCUGACUAUGGAAAAGGAAUCUGUACACUUAUUCCAUGUUUCUCUAGAAAAUUAGAAGAGAAAUUUACAGAAUGGCAGAUUUUUACUUUAAAAUAAUAACUUUUUUCACAGGGUUGUUUGAAAAACUAAGCAAUGUUCUGUUGACAUGUAUUUGGACAGACUAGGUCCCUACCUUAGAUUAAAUGCUGCCAUAUGGAAAAUUUGGAUUAUAGCAAUUAGCCAUUGGUUGAGUUAUCCAGUUGGUCAAAUGAAAGAUCCUUUUUCUUUUUGAAAGAUCCUUUAAGUACUUUGCAGUCUUGGGGGUUUGUGAUUUUGUUAUAAAUUGUGUUCUGAAGUCAGAUUUUUUGUGGUGUAAAUAAUUAUUGGAGUUCCUGUCAUGGCUCAGUGGUAACAAACCUGAUUGGUAUCCAUGAGGAUGUGGGUUUGAUCUGAUCCCUGGCCUCCCUCAGUGGGUUAAGGAUCUGGUGUUGCCCUGAGCUGUGGUGUAAGUCAUAGACAGGGCCCGGAUCCAGUGUUGUUGCCCGGAUCCAGUGCUGGCUCUGGUGUAGGCCAGCAGCUGCAGCUCUGAUUUGACCCCUCGCCUGGGAACUUCUGCAGGCUUCAUGUGUGGCUCUAUGCUGCAUGUGUGACCCUAAAAAAACAAAAAAACAAAAA